UUGAACGCUGGCGGCAUGCUUUACACAUGCAAGUCGAACGGUAACAGGGAGCUUGCUCCGCUGACGAGUGGCGAACGGGUGAGUAAUGCAUCGGAACGUACCCAGUCGUGGGGGAUAACUACGCGAAAGCGUGGCUAAUACCGCAUACGCCCUGAGGGGGAAAGCGGGGGACCUUCGGGCCUCGCGCGAUUGGAGCGGCUGAUGUCGGAUUAGCUGGUUGGUGGGGUAAAGGCCUACCAAGGCGACGAUCCGUAGCUGGUCUGAGAGGAUGAUCAGCCACACUGGGACUGAGACACGGCCCAGACUCCUACGGGAGGCAGCAGUGGGGAAUUUUGGACAAUGGGCGCAAGCCUGAUCCAGCCAUGCCGCGUGAGUGAAGAAGGCCUUCGGGUUGUAAAGCUCUUUCAGACGGAAAGAAAUCGGGCGGGUGAAUAGCCUGCCUGGAUGACGGUACUGUCAGAAGAAGCACCGGCUAACUACGU
rnacentral:rRNA from 1 species